GUCCCAGUUUAGCAAUGAAUAGCGCAUUGGACUUUUAAUCCAAAGGUCGUGGCUCGAAUCCCACCUGGGAUG